AAUAGUGGCGAACGGGUGAGUAACACGUAAGCAACCUACCCUAAAGACUGGCACAACCCCGCGAAAGCGGGGCUAAUUCCAGAUGUGGCCUUGAGAGCGCAUGUUUUCAAGAUUAAACCCAGCAAUGGGCUUUAGGAUGGGCUUGCGGCCUAUCAGUUAGUUGGUGAGGUAAUGGCUCACCAAGACGAUGACGGGUAGCUGGUCUGAGAGGAUGAUCAGUCACAAGGGAACUGAGACACGGUCCCUACUCC
rnacentral:rRNA from 1 species